rnacentral:tRNA from 1 species
GGAUGGGUAGCUCAGUGGUUAGAGCACAGGUCUCGUAACUGGAAGGUCCUGGAUUCGAAUCCCGCUAGAGGA